UAGAGUUUGAUCCUGGCUCAGAACGAACGCUGGCGGCAGGCCUAACACAUGCAAGUCGAACGCUGUAGCAAUACAGAGUGGCAGACGGGUGAGUAACGCGUGGGAACGUGCCUUUCGGUUCGGAAUAACUCAGGGAAACUUGAGCUAAUACCGGAUACGCCCUUCGGGGGAAAGAUUUAUUGCCGAAAGAUCGGCCCGCGUCCGAUUAGCUAGUUGGUGUGGUAAUGGCGCACCAAGGCGACGAUCGGUAGCUGGUCUGAGAGGAUGAUCAGCCACACUGGGACUGAGACACGGCCCAGACUCCUACGGGAGGCAGCAGUGGGGAAUAUUGGACAAUGGGCGCAAGCCUGAUCCAGCCAUGCCGCGUGAGUGAUGACGGCCCUAGGGUUGUAAAGCUCUUUCGCCAGGGACGAUAAUGACGGUACCUGGAUAAGAAGCCCCGGCUAACUUCGUGCCAGCAGCCCCGGUCAA
rnacentral:rRNA from 1 species